rnacentral:lncRNA from 12 species
AUGCCAUUGAUUAAUACUGCAGCCGAUGGUUUCAGAACCCCGGAGGAGUAUCAAGGAGAUAUUCUAAAGGGAGCCUCUCAAGUUUCAAAACCAGAAGUUACUGGAACUCUGGGCUUUCCUCCUUUGAGGCCACUUUUGCUACCAUCCCGGAAUUACUGGCGAGUGAUAUUCAUUGGCGGCCACUUACCAGGAUGCAGGAAGACGUUAGAAAUCCCAGGAUGCUCUGGUGAUCCUUCUGGACUAGAGACCCCCAGAAAACAGGCCAGGAUGCCCGAGUGGGUGAGAGACUGCACAGAGAAGAGACAAGACUGCCACCUCCUCUGCAAACCUCACAGAAAUGACUCCACUGUCAGGAUUUCCUGGAGGGCCACCUUUGCACAUAUGUUUGAGAAGCAUUCUGACCGUCACUUUUCAAAAAGACUACAAUGAAAAGAAAACUCCGGAAGACCGUUGCCCAUGGAAUACACAAGGAUUAAAUAAGGGAAUUCACAUGAAGUUUUAGCACUUAGUAGGUUCUUAAUAAGUGGAAAAACAUUCUUAUUGUUGGUAUCAUAAUCAUUAAUUCAUUCAAUAAAUAUUAGUGCAUAUAUGAGCUAAUGGAGCUC